UGCGGACAUACAUUACCAUGCAGUCGAACGGCAGCAUAGGAGCUUGCUCCUGAUGGCGAGUGGCGAACGGGUGAGUAAUAUAUCGGAACGUGCCCUAGAGUGGGGGAUAACUAGUCGAAAGACUAGCUAAUACCGCAUACGAUCUACGGAUGAAAGUGGGGGAUCGCAAGACCUCAUGCUCCUGGAGCGGCCGAUAUCUGAUUAGCUAGUUGGUGGGGUAAAAGCCUACCAAGGCGACGAUCAGUAGCUGGUCUGAGAGGACGACCAGCCACACUGGGACUGAGACACGGCCCAGACUCCUACGGGAGGCAGCAGUGGGGAAUUUUGGACAAUGGGGGCAACCCUGAUCCAGCAAUGCCGCGUGAGUGAAGAAGGCCUUCGGGUUGUAAAGCUCUUUUGUCAGGGAAGAAACGGUAGUAGCUAAUAUCUAUUACUAAUGACGGUACCUGAAGAAUAAGCACCGGCUAACUACGUGCCAGCAGCCGCGGUAAUACGUAGGGUGCAAGCGUUCA
rnacentral:rRNA from 1 species